GAUGAACGCUAGCGGGAGGCUUAACACAUGCAAGUCGAGGGGCAGCACGUCUUCGGAUGGUGGCGACCGGCGCACGGGUGAGUAACACGUAUGCAACCUGCCUUCUACUAUGGGAUAACCCGUUGAAAGACGGACUAAUACCGUAUAAUACAGGGGCUCCGCAUGGAGAUAUUUGUUAAAGAUUUAUUGGUAGAAGAUGGGCAUGCGUAUGAUUAGAUAGUUGGUGAGGUAACGGCUCACCAAGUCAACGAUCAUUAGGGGUUCUGAGAGGAAGGUCCCCCACACUGGUACUGAGACACGGACCAGACUCCUACGGGAGGCAGCAGUGAGGAAUAUUGGUCAAUGGACGAGAGUCUGAACCAGCCAAGUCGCGUGAAGGAAGACGGUUCUAUGAAUUGUAAACUUCUUUUGUGCAGGAAUAAAGUGGGUUACGUGUAACCUUUUGUAUGUACUGUACGAAUAAGGAUCGGCUAACUCCGUGCCAGCAGCCGCGGUAAUCUGU
rnacentral:rRNA from 1 species